rnacentral:tRNA from 1 species
GCGCCUGUGGCUCAGUGGAUAGAGCGACGGCCUCCGGAGCCGUAAGUCGAAGGUUCAAAUCCUUUCAGGCGCGCCA